GAUGAAGUACGCAGCGAAAUGCGAUAAGUAAUGUGAAUUGCAGAAUUCAGUGAAUCAUCGAAUCUUUGAACGCACAUUGCGCCCCCUGGUAUUCCGGGGGGCAUGCCUGUUCGAGCGUCAUUUCACCACUCAAGCCUCGCUUGGUAUUGGGCAUCGCGGUCCGCCGCGCGCCUCAAAUCGACCGGCUGGGUCUUCUGUCCCCUAAGCGUUGUGGAAACUAUUCGCUAAAGGGUGUUCGGGAGGCUACGCCGUAAAACAACCCCAUUUCUAAGGUUGACCUCGGAUCAGGUAGGGAUACCCGCUGAACUUAAGCAUAUCAAUAAGCGGAGGA
rnacentral:misc_RNA from 1 species